AACACCCAAAUCUAGGAGUGUCA
rnacentral:siRNA from 1 species